UAUAUUGCUGAAAAUCCUUCGUUAUUUAGAAAAGAAAUUAAAUUAAAUUAAUUAUAGUCAAAAUGAUUUAUUGUGUUCGUUAAACUAAACUUUUGCUAUAAACGUAAAUAACAUAAAAUUUAAAAAAUAUAUAUUACAAAAAAUCUUUAUCGUACUUUUUUUCUGUUUAUAAAUAAGUUUUUUUUAAUGGUGUAACUAUAAAUAAUUGCAGCAUGAUAUCCGCAAAAGCGGACUGCACUGCAUUAUGUAGAGUUGCCCUGCGGCCUUGUCUGCGAUUUUACAGAAUUCCUUCAAAUUCUCAAACAUUCCGGCCGGGUCACGCUAUCAUAAACUAUUUCUUCAACGUUUAGGGGAGAACAAAACUAGCGAACUAAUUAAUUGUACCGAGUAACUAUGUAAAUGCAUUGCCUGCGUGAAAUAGGAGGCUCAGACACACGCAGAUACCGUUUUGAACGUAUAAAACCAACCUAAAAGCAAAGCUUCUUUCACGUAUUAAGUAGUAAGUCUACACUAAUAUAAAUUAUAAAGAGGAGAAA